UUGGACUGAAACUGUGUUUGUGUGAGGCUGUAUAGGCUGCUGCCUGAGCAGGAGAGGGAGAUUAAAAAAGACUGAUAGAGAGAGAGAGAGAGAGUAAGGGAGGGACUGAGAGAGAGGAAGGGGGAAAGAGAGCACCUGCAGCACUCAAAGCAGACAUUCAGUAGUGUGGAGGUUAAUUAACAGAAGGGGAAGCAAAAAGGUGAGAAGGUAUUAACAGCUCUCAGCAGACUGAACUUGAGCGGUAAAGUGAAGUUAGUGAGUGAACACAGGGGGCUGUCAAUGCAAGAAUGGUUUAAUAACUUCUGGACACCUGUUCUUCUGAACCAAAGAGCACUUUUGAACACAUCUUUUCAGGUCUACUUUGCUGUCUUUCGUUGGCACCUGUCAUGGCCGACCCUGCAUGGUGGAAGCUCACCUUCCUGAAGAAAAAGAAGUCAGAGUCGAAGGUCCAGUAUGAAAUGCCACCCGAUUUCAGCACCAACAAUGCAAACAAAGACCUGGGCAACGAUGAUGCAGACAGCAAUUUAGAUGCCAGACUGGAAAAAAUAGUGGAUAAAUCGAACACCAAGGGCCGUCACGUCAAAGUCUCCAAUUCUGGGCGGUUUAAGGAGAAGAAAAAGAUCCGUGCGACCCUGGCAGAAAACCCAAGCCUUUUCCCCGAACCUGCUCUGACUGACAAGAGCCAUGUGGAAAAAUAACAUCCAGACAAAGCACAAUGUUAGAUGCACAAACUCAUUUAUACUAAUUCUUCUUUGAAAGGCUGCAUGUGGAUCGGAGUUAAGACUGAUGCAGCGAAGAUACUGGAACAGAAAAUUAUUAUUUUUGCCAGCAGUACUUUAAUUGAAAUGCAACCCUGAGAUGAUUAUUAAGGACUGAAUGUUUCCUGUGAAUCAUAAACAGAAUAUUGUCAUGCUCAUAAAAUGCAUUAUCAUCAUUGUGGGAAAAACUUGACAAGAAAGGCACAGAAACUCUUCCAACUCUCAUUUAUAAAUCACACAAUCCGUUCAUUUUAAAAAUUCAUGUGGAGAGUUACACUAAUCUCAAACCUGUGGGAGACAGACUGUUGCUCAGAUUUGCAAUUGUAUGCGCCCUUUUGAUAAGCACUUGAUCACGUGUUUUUUCAUGUUGCUGUUUUUUGUGGUUGGACAACUCAGUUGUGCGUAGGACUUUAUCUCUGAUUUUAUCAUUUACCAUAAAAAGGGUUUAAAUUAGGGCAUGGAGAGUCAAAGUCACAGUGUGUUAGAGAUAAGUUCUCCAACUAUCACUACAGCUGUAAUUUGCCAUGUUUAAUCUGUACUUGUCAACUGUUUACUGCAGUCUUUAAGGAUUAUUGUUAAAAUAUGCAAAAUAAAGAUUUUUAUUGCAUUGCUUAGAUGUGUUAAAUUGUGGAGAAGUGCAAAAAGCUAAGCACAAAAGUUAUUUGAAUGCCACUGCCAUCUACUGGCAAAAUAAUUUCUAAAAAUAAAUUAUAAUUGCUGCAAAAUUUAAAGAGUUUAUUACUUUGUUUUACAUAUACAGAAAUUCACUAAUUCAUUGCAGAAUUACAGUCAAAUAUAAAAUUACUUUAAGCCCACAUUAAGUUUGGCACAUUUAGCACAGCAAUCUAAUUUCAAUAUUUCCCAUCUGUCUUGCUGAAUAUUUGCUGUGUCAUGAACACAUUUAAAGAUGUGCAAAACUUCAAAAAGAGCAACAUGCUAUUGUUGUUACAGAAGUCCAAAGUCUAUGUUCUCUGAAACUACAAUUAAGGCUGCAAGUAUAACUGUGCUUUUUUAAUUAUUAAUAAACAUUAGGCAUUCAACAGACUUUGCACCUCGUAAUAGAUUAAGAAUGUGUUGAGGUCAGUUUUGAAGGCUUACAAAUGCUGCACCGAAGCACCAUUUGUAAAGCAACAUGAUUUAUAUUCCUAAGAUCAUGUAUACAGUUAUCUCCAAAUAAAAUCUCCCUUUUUGUUUUGGUUUAGGAUACAGGAUAAUUAUGGAAUGAUAUCUUUACUAGUCAGUUAAUGUCCUGGUGGCAUUUUUAGUGACAGUCGCUGCUAUUUCAGUUAACAAAUAUUUUUCAUAGAUCGUGGUGAUACUUACUUGUCGGCUCGGUGUUACUGUGCUCUGCCUGCUAACAACAGCACCGAUCUGACUGCUUUUGGGUCUUGAGUGGAAAUAAUCACAUGAAAUCUCAUAUGGGAUUCUCUCUACAGUGCCUUCAAUGCGAAUCUAGGAUACAAAACAAUGAAAUACAAUGGGCAGCGUGAGAUGGCAGCGACCUUGUGUAGCAGGCUUCUCCCAAAAUCGGGCCAUUAAGCCAGAGUGUUCGUCAUUGAUCAAAAGCUGUCACUUGUCACAGAAAACCAGUAAACUUCCUCAAGCAGAAGCUGAUGGCUGUCACAGAACACAUUCCCCCCACACCUGCAGCUCCUCCUGCUGCUCUGGCUCCACGAAUCAGACUGACCGAAGAGGAAUGUGCUCUGGCAGUUUUGUUGAGAAGAGACCUAGAAACCUUGUUUAAGGGAUGUAAGAUGAUUGCUGUAGUUCAAAGCAAUGCAAUCAAUGCAGAGGACCUCAUGGUGCUGAAACACAAACUGAAAAGCCACAAUAUCAGUGUCAAGUUCUUCCCAAACCAGGGUUGUUUCUCAGUAACAGCAUUUACAGUAACAUGUUGCCUCUAUUUGUUGGCCAGACUGUGAUAUUUGCUGGUAAACAGCCAAAAGUUAAAGAGAUGCUGCAAGCGUUAAAACACAGUCCUCAGAUGGUGCUGUUAGGUGCUUGUAUAGAGAACACAUUGCUUUCGUAUCAGGGCAUUCUCAGUUACUCCAAACUCCCGUCUAUGAUCACUAUCCAGGGUGAUCUAGUUGGUGGUCUAACCAUGAUGACUUCACGGACUGUCUCGAUGCUACUUCACCAUCCAGCUCACCUUUCCGCCCUCCUUCAGCAGUAUGUCAAACAGCAAGGCUCUGGGGACUCCACAAAUGCUGUUACAGAUAAAGAUACAAUAAAG